UCGAUAUGUGAAUACAUAGCAUAUCAGAAGGCACACCCGGAGAACUGAAACAUCUUAGUACCCGGAGGAAGAGAAAGAAAAUUCGAUUCCCUUAGUAGCGGCGAGCGAAAUGGGAAGAGCCCAAACCAACAAGCUUGCUUGUUGGGGUUGUAGGACACUCUAUACGGAGUUACAAAGGACGACAUUAGACGAAUCAUCUGGAAAGAUGAAUCAAAGAAGGU
rnacentral:rRNA from 1 species